rnacentral:rRNA from 1 species
GACGAAGGGGGCAAGCGUUGUUCGGAAUUACUGGGCGUAAAGCGCGUGUAGGUGGUUGUCGUAGUCAGGCGUGAAAGCCUUGAGCUCAACUCAAGAAAUGCGCUUGAUACUGGGCAGCUAGAGGACCGGAGAGGAUAGUGGAAUUCCCAGUGUAGUGGUGAAAUACGUAGAGAUUGGGAAGAACACCAGUGGCGAAGGCGGCUAUCUGGACGGUUUCUGACACUAAGACUCGAAAGCGUGGGGAGCAAACAGG